UACGAAGGGGGCUAGCGUUGCUCGGAAUCACUGGGCGUAAAGCGCACGUAGGCGGAUUGCUAAGUCAGGGGUGAAAUCCUGGAGCUCAACUCCAGAACUGCCUUUGAUACUGGCGACCUUGAGUCCGGGAGAGGUGAGUGGAACUGCGAGUGUAGAGGUGAAAUUCGUAGAUAUUCGCAAGAACACCAGUGGGCGAAGGCGGCUCACUGGCCCGGUACUGACGCUGAGGUGCGAAAGCGUGGGGAGCA
rnacentral:rRNA from 1 species